CUAUCCUAUGACGGCCGGGCGCAAAAGUCUGUUUCUUUUCCUCAUGAAUCUGGCCUGGAAAUGCCGGUUCAGUAUGCCGUUACUCCUCAGUGGUACGAUGGCGUUAUUGGGGCAGGCCUGGAUGUUCCAGAUUCGGGUCCAAACCGUACAAGAACUGAAUGAGAAUGAGGUUUCAUAGUUAUAUAGUAGUUAUCUUUGCUGGCAUAUUAUGAUGAUGACGAUAUGGACGACGAUUCUCGGGACACUGAAUCCACUGACUCUUGGGAGACAAUAGUUGAAGAAGUGGCGUAUGGAUGACUGUUAUUUAGCGUUAUAUCCCACCAUGAUCACGCGCAUGUGUUGUUCAAUCGUUUAAUACCGGAGUAGAUAUUUCUGGUAUACGUUAUAUCAGAAAAAUUUUGACUUCAGCAAGAAAUUUACGUUAAAUUAUCAAUACGAUAUCGUUUGUUACGUUAAGGGCCUGUUACACAAUGUCCGGAUAAGUU